rnacentral:rRNA from 1 species
UGGGGAAUCUUGCACAAUGGGGGAAACCCUGAUGCAGCGACGCCGCGUGAGCGAAGAAGCCUUUCGGGGUGUAAAGCUCUUACGCCAGGGACGAUAAUGACGGUACCUGGAGAAGCAGCUGCGGCUAACUACGUGCCAGCAGCCGCGGUAAUACGUAGGCAGCAAGCGUUGUUCGGAAUUACUGGGCGUAAAGGGUGCGUAGGCGGCGCUUUAAGUUUGGUGUGAAAUCUCCCGGCUCAACCGGGAGGGUGCACUGAAAACUGGGGCGCUCGAGUAUGGGAGAGGAAAGCGGAAUUCCUGGUGUAGCGGUGAAAUGCGUAGAGAUCAGGAGGAACACCCGCGGUGUAGACGGCUUUCUGGACCAUGACUGACGCUGAGGCACGAAAGCGUGGGGAGCAAACA